CUUUACAAGCUGUUCAAGUGUAUUUUCAAUCAGUAAUUGCAACCAAAGAUUUUAACUACUUUAUUUACUACCUUACAUUUGUCACUUCACAUCUUUGCCUUAAAUUUGCUUUGAUUCCCAUUUUAUGUCGAUCACUCGAACGCAUUGCAAAGUUCUUAAGGCAUAAUUUUAGUCGUUCUACCUUGUACAGAUAUUUACAGAUGCGAGACAGUAUGUCAUCCACUUU